rnacentral:lncRNA from 1 species
CCCAGUUGUUUUUCAUCUGACAUUCCCUGAGAAACCUUGUCUACUCCACCAGUGCUAGAUAGAGUACAUAUUUUCAAGUCUCUAAAAUAGAGAUUCAUCUUAAAAAUGACAGUCUCAAUGUACUAUGGACCAGAGUUAGCCAUAGUGUGAUUGUUCUCAGGACACUUUCUAGGAUUUGGGAGGAAAACCUUCCCCUGACCUCUCCCCAUGACAUCCUCAGCCUCUGCCCUUGCAGAGGGACUGUCACUAGGAUGAUGAGCUCAUUUCAUGGGGAGUAAUGAAUGCAGGGCUUUCUAGGAAACUUCUAAUUGGCCCUAAGAGUGAUGAUACAUUGGAAAUGACAGACAUGAUGCAUAGCCUGUUUUUAUCUCCUUAAUUUUCUCUCAUCUUACCUUGCUUCCUUUAUUAUCAGUAGACGUUUCUGAUGCAUAGUAAUCACAACUGAACUGCAGGUUGGUACAAAUCCCUGUGGCAUCUUGAGCCUUUUCCACCCUUCCAGCCUCCUCCCACUCAGCCCUCGCACAGCUUUGAAGGGAAUUGUCUGAUAAGUUUCAUUUUUUUAUUGUUAAUGCUUGGGGUGGGAGUUCACAUGCAUUUUCACAUUGAUCAUAUAUAUCUCAACGUGCUUGGAUUUAGUAUUCAGUUGUAACACAAUUUUUGUUUGUUCCUUUGCAUUUUUUAUAGACAAGAUUAUGUUUGGAGCCAAUAGAUGUUGUUUGGCUUGUUUUCACAUGGAAAAUCAUAAGAAAUAUGAUGCCUUCUAUUUCCUUUUCUCUUCUGAUAGCUCUGAUGGCAGCCUCCAGUACAAUGUUGAGUAGAAGUGGCAAGAAUGAGCAUCUUUCUCUGAUUUUCUAUGUUCAAAAAACAGUGAAUUCUAAUCACAGUCACAGGAGCACAGAAUAGGACCCUUCUCCAUGUGAGCCUUCAGUGCACAGUCAAGCCCUGACCAUGACCACAUCUGGAUUCCUCACCCCGAAGAAGCUUACAGUGUUUGUUAGAGAACAACAGAGGAAUCAAGAGAAGGAGGAAGAGAAGAAGAAAAGCAGGAAGGGAGAAAAGAAAUAAUGAAGCGCUGCCACCAUGUGAGCAACUUCCCUCAGCCAAGACCCACCCUUCCUUGGAGCUCCCCACCUUAGGCUGAAAACGUGAGCCAGGCUGACCCUGAACUCCAGGGCUGAAGUGAUCCUCCUGCCUCCAGCUCCAAAGUAGCAGAAUCUCCAGAUUUUCCCUGCCUAAUACGGGCCCAGAAAGCCUAUAGCCCAGGUGCUGACCCUACAGAUGUGUUUCAGCCCCGCCCACAGAAGCAGCAGGAGGGCUCUUUCUCUGGACUUUGUUCAACGUGAUUAUCACAGAACCAGUUUUCCCGUCCUUCUGAGUUGUCCUCAGAUUUUGCUUCUUGUUACUGUCACAGCACCGGCUCUGCCUUCCUGCAUUGCUCAGUGGCCUCCCACCCUGUCGAAGUCCACAGUCUGGGAGGGGAAGAAAGUGUAACUGUGGAUCUACUCACCGAUGGGCCCUGUUGCUCCUUCCCUCAGUCCCAAGAUGGUGUGUGCCCUGAGUCUGCGGAGCCACCAGCUUCCUGUCUUCAGCCUGCUAAUGCCUGACUUUCUGCCUCACAUCAUGACGGUGUCACUCACUCUCCUCAAAUAUUAUUCUCCAGUGUGAAAAACCACAGCCAACUUAUACUUGGUGGUGUGGAUCUUCCCGGAGCCCCUGCAGCAUUUCUGAAGGUAUAUAUUGAAAGUUCCAAUUUGACCAGACCACUUCUCCAACCUUGCGGAAGAACUCUUAGCUUCGCAAAAGGAGCUCUAUACAGUACAUUUAAACUUUCAGAAAAGAUAGAUCAGAGAGAAAUAAGUGGGUCAAAGAUUGUUUUGAUUUCCUGUGUAGUUCUGAUUAGUGCUGAUGUAUUGUUUUUGACCACUCCAUGAGUAUGGGGCAGGAUGACUUUAAUGGAGCAGUUCUACUGCUAAGGGUUUUAACCCUUUUUUGCCAUUGUGUAACCACUGCAUUUUUAAAUAUCUGAUGCAUUCAGUAGACCCAUUCCAUAGGAAAUUAUUUGUACAUACACAAUUUUGUGAUACUAGGAAUUGAACCCAGGAAUGCUCUUUCACUAAACUAUAUCUUGAGCCUUUUAUUUAUUUUAUUAUUUUUUAUGUCAAGACAGGAUUUUGCUGUUCCUAAUACUGUAAUUGAAUUUGCAAUCCUCUUUCUUCAGCUACCUGACAGGCUUGACUACAACAUACACCACUGCGCCUGGCUUCCAAAACACACAUUUUACAAAAGAUUCAUGAUCUAUGUAGAACCAGAGUUAAACUCCCUAGUCAAGACUAACUGAAUCUAUUCAAAAACCUCACUCGUUUGCAUGUAAACAGGUAGUCCUUCUCAUAGUUAUCAUAUAGAAAUUCUACCUGAUGAAUUUCUUUUUAAUUUUGAACUUCUGAAAUCAUAAAGAUAUAUAAAUAUUAAAUUUUAUACUGCAUUCUUGUUCAAUUUGUGCCAUAAAAUUAUCUUUAUUUACUUACUUCCCAAUCUUAGAAAUUUUAUUAGUAGUAUAUGUUGUG